CCUACGGGAGGCAGCAGUCGAGAAUCAUUCACAAUGGGGGAAACCCUGAUGGUGCGACGCCGCGUGGGGGAAUGAAGGUCUUCGGAUUGUAAACCCCUGUCAUGUGGGAGCAAAUUAAAAAGAUAGUACCACAAGAGGAAGAGACGGCUAACUCUGUGCCAGCAGCCGCGGUAAUACAGAGGUCUCAAGCGUUGUUCGGAAUCACUGGGCGUAAGGCGUGCGUAGGCUGUUUCGUAAGUCGUGUGUGAAAGGCGCGGGCUCAACCCGCGGACGGCACAUGAUACUGCGAGACUAGAGUAAUGGAGGGGGAACCGGAAUUCUUGGUGUAGCAGUGAAAUGCGUAGAUAUCGAGAGGAACACUCGUGGCGAAGGCGGGUUCCUGGACAUUAACUGACGCUGAGGCACGAAGGCCAGGGGAGCGAAAGGGAUUAGAUACCCCUGUAGUC
rnacentral:rRNA from 1 species